UAAGAGUUUUGUGCCAGGAACCACGAACAAAGAGUAUUACCACAGGCAUGCAGGCAUGGAAGCUAGUUGCAACAAGGAAAGGGAAAACUUGGCAAAAGCUUUGUCCCAUGGCCUAGACUAAUCCAGUAGGUACAAGGAUCAUGCCUAGGUGUUACAGGAAAGGGGUCCCAAUCCAGACCCCCAAGAGAGGGUUCUUGAAUCUCGCACAAGAAAGAAUUCGAGGUGAGUUCAUACAGUGAAAGCAAGUUUAUUAAGACAGUAAAGGAAUAAAAGAAUGGCUACUCCCUAGGCAGAGCAUUCUCAAGAGCUUCUGGUUGCCCAUUUUUAUGGUUAUUUCUUGAUUAUAUGCUAAACAAGAGGUUGAUUCUUCAUGAGUUUUCACAGUAAGGAGUGGACAACUCCCAGAACUGAGGGUUCUUAGCCUUUUUAGACCAUAUAGGGUAAUUUCCUGAUGUUGCCAUGGCAUCUGUAAACUGUCACAGCACUGGUGGGAGUGUCUUUUAGCAUGCUAAUAUAUUGUAACUAGCUUAUAAUGAGCUGUGAGGAUGACCAGAGGUCACUCUUGUCACCAUCUUGGUUUUGAUGGGUUUUGGCCGGCUUCUUAACUGCAACCUGUUUUAUCAGUAAGGUCUUUAUGAUCUGUAUCUUGUGCCAACCGUCUAUCUCAUUCUGUGACUAGGAAUGCCUUAACCUCUUGGGAAUGCAGCCCAGUAAGUCUAAGCCUCAUUCUACCCAGCCUGUUUUCAAGAUGGAGUCAUUCUUGUUCUAAUACCUCUGACACAGAGAUUGCAAAAGGUUGCAGGACUCCACCUGGUGUCCUGGCUCCUGGAUUUGACAGACAGCUGAGGAACCUGGACUAGGGUGUAGGGUGGGGUUGUUACUGGUGGGUUCUGCAGUACAGGUGGUUCAUCACUUUCUUUCUCUGAGAAUGUGACUUUCACACCCCCAUGGAUGCCAAUCUAAUCAGAAAUGUCUCAGGUGCUGGGAUAAUGCAGGGAGACUGUGAGUGGAGCAUCAGCAAGUAGCAGAUAAUCCAACUCAAGCUUAGUUGACACCAGGGGAGGGAUCAACUGGGCAUGAGACUAAGGCUCCCAGUGGGAAGAUAGGCACAGCAGGUGCUAGCCAAGCCACCACACAAGGACAUUAGGACUAGUCUCUCUCUCCAUCCUUCUUCUGCUCUCCUCUGUGCUGGCUUCAUUCUAAGGAUGACUCUCACUUCACGGUUGCCAAGCUUUUAUCCUGCUGGCCUUGGAGGUCUUGCAAACAGAGAGGGCUCAUUCCUUGCAGACUCACUAAAGUCUCAGGGAGGAUUGCAUGGGUUCAGCUGCUAUCCUGGCCCCUGAACCAAUCACCAGGCUGUCUUCUCCACUGUAUCUUCCCAAUUCCCCUUGGCACAUGCAAAUCAAUCUAUAUAAAUAGACCCUAGGCAGCUUCUGGCCCCGCCAACUCAUUAUUUAUGCAUAAGCAAGUCUGAAUCUUUGUUUAGGCUGAGCUACAGGACCAGGUAAGCACCCGUAGGCUUGCAUGCAGGCAUAUGCGUGCACACACACAGUUGCACACGUAUACAAGCACGCACAUAUCCAGAAGCAAGCAUAGCGCUCUCAGUCAAUCAUGUGUAAAAUGUCAGCCUGGCCUUCCUGUGAGUGUUUAGAAACAGUCUGAAGAGCCCUUGACGAGAGAAGUUGUCGUGGGUUUUGUUUCCUGUAAAAGCUUCUGUCAGUAAGCCUGGCAUGUUGUUUUUUUUUCCUUCAGACAAUGAGAGUCUUCUUUCUGUAGACAGAGGAAAACAAACACAUGUCCGUUUAUUAGGUAGACGCGAUGAGACAGAAAAUGUCAGCUGAACCUGGCAGCCUCAAGCAGUGAGUGAUUUUCUUCCUCGUGUGCCUCUUCCCAAUUUCAUCUUUAGUCAGAACAGCUCCGAAGAAAUCCUUGAGCUUAUGCAACCACUUCUUGGAAACUCCAGUGGUCCCAUUUUCCAGUUUUCUAAUACAGGCAUUUUCACAUCAUCACCAGAUGCUGGGCUGUUAGCGAGUAAUAUUGCCUUGGGAGGCUUUGCCUGUUAAGAAAUUGCUUGAAGUGUCCUUUCUCUUUCCUGUGAAAUUUUAAAUCAUCAUUUACAUGGAGCCCUGACAGCAUUUUUCAGGGCCUCUUUCAUUUACUUGGGCUUCUUGAUUGCUCUGAAGGUCCCAGCUGCCCCCUGCGCAGGUUCUGGGAGCCCAGGCCGACUCUGUCACAGAGAUUCCGAUUCACAGAAUCCAGGAGCAAGGUGGAAGGACCCUUAAGAGUCUCCCAAUGUAGCCUUUUAUUCAUUCUGUCCUACAGCAUUUUUAGUAGUUGAAUCUUUUAUUCCAACCAAAUUUUACGUAAGAUAGAUGAAAGUCAAGCCCUUCAGGUUACAGGCAUGCCAGGGAGCUAAUAGUGCUGUCCUGCUUAGCACCAAGUCCCAUCCUGUAUUAGUCUGUUCUCACACUGCUGAUAAAGACACAGGGGUAAUUUAUAAAGGAAAGAGGUUUAAUGAACUCACAGUUCCACAUGCCUGGGGAAGCCUCACAAUCAUGGUGGAAGGCGAAGGAGGAGCAAAGACAUGUCUUACAUGGCGACAGGCAAGAGAGUGUGCGCAGGGGAACUGCCCUUUAUAAAACCAUCAGAUUUCAUGAGACUUAUUCACUAUCAUGAGAAUAGCACAGGAAAGACCCACCCCCAUGACUCAGUUACCUCCCACUGGGUCCCUCCCAUGACACGUGGGAAUUGUGGGAGCUACAAUUCAAGUAACAAGCUACAGUUCAAAUAACAGAUAUUUGAGUGGGGACACAGGCAAACCAUAUCACACUCUCACCCUCCACCCUCCUAAUUCCUAACCUAUCUGUCCCUCCAGGGAGGCCUUUUGCAGCAUCUCUUGUGGAUCUCUGCAUUGCCCCAUUUAAAACAACGAUGCUGUAGGUUCUAGGCUUCCUGCUUCUCCAUGGCCCCAGCAUCAUGCAGCUUCCCAGGGCAGGGCCUCCUGCCUGGCUAAGUAGACUCUCCUCACCUGGCUCUCAAUCUCUAGUCUUGCCCAGCUCUCAUCUGCUUGUCACACCAAAGCCACGAGGAUCCUUCUAAACUACAAACUGGGCUGUGUCACAUGCCUAUUUAAAAUCCUCCUUCCUGGCUGGGCACAGUGACUCAUGCUUGUAAUCCCAGCACUUUGGGAGGCCCAGGCAGGAGGGUCACUUGAGGUCAGGAGUUCAAGACCAGCCUGGCCAAUAUGGUGAAACCCCAUCUCUACUAAAAAUAUAAAAAUUAGCCAGGCGUGGUGGUGGGCACCUCUAAUCCCAGCUACUUAGGAGGCUGAGACAGGAGAAUUGCUUGAACCCAGGAGGUGGAGUUUGCAGUGAGCUGAGAUCAUGCCACUGCACUCCAGCCUGGGUGACAGAGCAAGCCUCUGUCUCAAAAAUAAAUAAAUAAAUAACCCUCCUUCCCAUAGUGGGAGGGUGUGUGAGAGGUGGGGAUGGUUAAUAGAUACAAAAAACAUAGUUAGAAAGGAUGAAUAAGACCUAGUAUUUGAUAGCACAACAGGGUGACUAUAGUCAACAAUAAUAGAAUUAUACAUUUGAAAAUAAGUAAAAGAGAUUAAUUGGGUUGUUUGUAACACAAAGGAUAAACGUUCGAGGAGAUGAAUGCCCCAUUUUCCAUGAUGUGAUUUUUAUGCAUUGCAUACCUAUAUUCAAAUACCUCAUGUACCCAUAAACAUGUACACCUAUUAUGUACCUACACAAAUUAAAACAAAACAUUAAAAAAUAAAGUAAGUUAAAAAAAUAAAUAAAGUCUCCCUUCCCUGUUGUUUCUCAAUGACCUGAGGGUAAAGUUCGAGCCACUUGGUAAAGUGUAAAAGACCCGUCUUAUCUGACUGCUGUCUUAUCUGACUGCUGUCUUAUCUGGGCUGCUGCUUGACUGUCUAGUUUCAUCUGUUGACGAUAAGUUCUACGUCCAGCUGGAUGGAACUGGGAGCUGGACAUUUGAUGUGUUAUGCUUGUUCUGCUUAGGGUGAGCCUGAGCUGGGAAACCCUUCCCCCUCGCUCCCUGCACCUUACUCACCUCAGCUUGUCUUCACCCACUAACUUCUCCCACCUCUUCUUCCACAUCAGGAGCCUGUCCCUCCCCUUUUCCCAGAUCCUUAUGGCUUUCUCAGUCACUGCAUGGAUCCUGCCUAUGUUAGAAUUGCUUGUUUUCUUCUCUGUGGCCCUCACUUAACUAAUCUCUGUGAGGGCAGUGAGCAUGUCCAUCUUGGUCCCUGCUGUAUUCUCAACGCGCAGUAAUGCUUUGCAAAGAAAAGAUGCUCAGAAAGUAUUUGCUGAACAUAUAAAUGGGAGCUGGUUUCAGUGGCUCAUGCCUUUAAUCCCAACAGUUUGGGAAGCUGAGGCAGGAGGAUCAUUUGAGGUCAGGAGUUUGAGACUAGCCUGGGCAACAUAGUGAGACCCUGUCCGUACAAAAACCUUAAGAAGAAGAUUAGCUGGGCAUGAUGGUAUGCACUUGUAGUCCCAGUUACUCGAGAAGAUGAGGCAGGAGGAUCACUUGAGCCCAGGAGUUUGAGGCUGCAGUGCGCAAUGAUCCUACUGCACCACUACACCCUAGCCUGUGUGACAGAGCCAGACCCUGUCUCUAAAAGAGAAGCAGCAACAAUAAAAACAUAAAAAUAAAAAUUACUCUUGCUCUGGACCCCAUCCAGUGAUUUCCAGGCUCCUUCAACCUUUUUCAACAGUUCCUGACUUUUAUCAGCUUGACCAUUACUUGUGAUUCCUUUGUCUGUCUGCAGACCUUUCCAGUAACCUCCAGGUUCCCUGAAGGUCCCACAAUUUGCUUUUCCUUCCCUAGUCAGGACCGUCCAGACAUACUCCAUGCUUUCUUCCUUGUGGGGAUGACAUGAUCCCCAGCUCCAUGAGAGCAGAGAUCUUCUGCGUCUUGCCCAUUGUGGUGUUCUAGUGCUUGGCACUUAGUAGGUGCUCAGUAAACAUUUGUUGAAUGAAUUUUUAAAAAUCAGUCGUGCAAUCCAUGGACAACAGAAGCUUGAGCUCAUCUCUGCCAGUGGAUAUGAACAGAUGUGUCCUUACCCCCUUUGGGCUACUCAUGGAACUGCUUUUGGGUUAAAAUGUUGCCAGGGCAUAACUGCUUCUCUUGCAAUCUCUUCUGAUGGAUUUAGGUUCUAGCUCUGAUUCUCUGGACCUGGGAGAGGGGUCCUUAUGUCUCAUCCGCUAUGUCUUUCCUCAUUCUCCUUUCAGCAGCUACAAGAUAGGCCAUUCAAGAAGCCACCACUCCCUGCAAGAGGAGAGAUUUCAGCUCUUAGGAGAAUUUAUUGCAGAGAUUAGAUGCUGCCAAACCCUUCAAUAUCAGCUCCCAUCUAAACACAGGCUCAGAGAUAGGAAUGAAUUCAAGUUGUCUGUUUAGAAGACUUUUGCAGGCUUCAGGAAGCCACUGCCUGUCAUGGAAGAUUGAUUCACAGGAAUAUGGCAAGGAAGCCCGGGCAUUCAGUGACAAGGCACAUCUUUGCCAAGUGUCUUGGCACAUCUUUGCCAAGUGUCUCAAAUAGCCUGGGAACAAAAUUCACCAAGGGGAAGAUGGUGCUGUCCCCUUGGUUUACAUGUUGGAGGUGUGAGUCUUUGCAACUUCCUGACAACAAGGCUUCCUAGUUCCCAUUUAAAAUCAAGUCAGUUUUAUAAAGCAUUAACAUGAUGAGAUGCAUUAAGCUAAAGAGUGCCUUUUAAGAAUAAUAGCAAAUAAUUUAUAAUGGAUGCAUCAGCUUUAGUAAAAAGUUUUUUUUUGGUGACAAAAUAAAAUCAUACAUAAAAGGCAAGUAAGACAGUUUCACUUUAAUAGGGUGCCCAAGUGGAGUAAAAAAAAAUGUCAAAGCCAAAGUGUUUGUAGGAGUGAAAGAUUCUCAAGAGAAAGUAAGAUGAGACAUCAAACGAAUUGGCUUUGGUAGAAGACAGGUCUAGGCUGCAAAAACAACCUGGAUAGCUUGCUUGCUUGCUUUCUUGCUUUCUUGCUUGCUUGCUUUCUUGCUUGCUUUCUUUCUUGCUUUCUUUCUUGCUUGCUUGCUUGCUUGCUUGCUUUCCUUCUUUCUUUCUUUCUUUCUUUCUUUCUUUCUUUCUUUCUUUCUUUCUUUCUUUCUUUCUUUCUUUCUUUCUUUCUUUCUUUUUUUUCUUUGAGAUGGAGUUUGCUCUUGUUGCUCAGGCUGGAGAGUGCAAUUGUGCAGUCUCAGCUCACUGCAACCUCUCCGCUUCCCAGGUUCAAGCAAUUCUCCUGCCUCAGGCUCCCGAGUACCUGGGAUUACAGGGGUGUGCCACUGUACCCAGCUGAUUUUUGUGUUUUUAGUAGAGAUGAGGUUUCACCAUGUUGGCCAGGCUGGUCUUGAACUCCUGACCUCAGGGCAUCCACCCACCUGGGCCUCCCAAAGUGCCGGAUUAUAGGCGUGAGCCACUGCACCUGGCCCACAAUGUGGACAGCUUCUGAUUGUGACCCCCAAAAUCACGGGUCUUGGUUGAGUCUGUUUCCACAUCUGAACUUCAGUUUAGGGAUACUGCAGUGUACUUCUGCUGGAUUUGCCCCUACAGUAUUCCUCUGGGGAAACAACCCUACUCCACUCAUCCUCCCACAAGAAGUCACUUCUUGGCCAGGCACGGUGGCUCACGCCUGUAAUCUCAGCACUUUGAGAGGCUGAGGCGGGUGGAUCACAAGGUCAGGAGUUUGAGACCAGCCUGAUCAACAUGGUGAAACCCCACCUCUACUAAAAAUACAAAAAUUAGCCAGGUGUGGUGGCACGCACCUGUAAUCCAAGUUACUCAGGAGGCUGAGACAGAAGAAUGGCUUGAACCCAGGUGGCAGAGGUUGCAGUGAACCAAGAUUGUGCCACUGCACUCCAGCCUGGAUGAAAGAGCAAGAGUCCAUCUCAAAAAAAAAAAAAAAAAAAAUUACUUCUCAUAUCCCAACUCAGGAGGGCACACAGCUCAUGUCUGCCUCACUUUCAUUCUGUAAGGGCUAGUGGGUGAGAUGGAUUGCAUCUGUGACAUUAAUUCUUCACCCUGCUCCCCGCAUGCAUGCUGUUGCAUUCCUCUCACUAAAAAGGAGGAAGCCCGUUUCUCCAUCCUUGACACUGGAGUUGCCAAUCAGAUGCAGUGGAAGUGGGGGUGAGUCACUGUGGUGCUGAGACCUGCCUGAUGUUUUUCAGGUCCUGAAUUCCAGUGGAAUAGCUGAAGCCCACCAGUUCGAAGAUUCCCAGGGAGGAACCAAAUCGACACAUGAAUACAGCUUCUUUCAUCCCCCUGUCCAAUGACUUCGCCCUGUACUCUUUGACCAAUCAAUGAGCUCCACAUUUUAGCCUACUCCAAAACCCUUAAAAACGCUUACCCCAAAUCCCUCAGAAAUGGACUUGAGGUUUCCUCCUAUCUUGUUGUUUGGUAGCCUACGAUUAAACCUCUUUCUCUGCUGCAACCUGGUGUCUUGGGGUGUUGACUUGCAGAACACAUCUGGCAAUGGAUCUGUUACAGUUAUGCAUUCACCAUGGGAACAUGCCUGCUGGAGAAGGAAAAACGUGUGGAGCAGAGCCAACUCACUCCAGUCUCCUCAACCGGUAGCCAACCAACUCCCAGAGUGCCAGAGGCUUGCGUAAGUAAGUUUGCACCUUGCUGAGCUGUUAAGAGGCUGUGAUGACAGUUGCCCCCACAAGAUUUCACCAGUACCUGGAAAUAAGUAUGACUCACUCCUGACUCAGUUUUGGUGACCACGAGGGCACAGCAAUUCUGAGAAAGACUGGGCCAGGUUGUUCUUCUACGUCAGUGAUUUAACUCAUGCCAUAGAUGGUAGAAACCAACCAUUUCAGACCUGAAGGAGAUGGCAAAGAUGAGAUCAUCAAAGACUCAUGGUUUCCUGUGGAGAUAACCAGAGGCAGAGGGGCGGAGGCAGUGCUGGUGGAGUCUGGCAUCCCAUGCAGGACUAAGAAGAUGGGCUUUGCGGGCAGAGAGAUGGAGACUCCUUCCAUGUAAACAUCCACAUACUCUGGGGAAACCUGCUGCCAAAGUAGGAGGAUUCCAAAGGACCUAGAGGAAGAAAAAGCUACAAUAUGGAAGACACCUGAGUUUCUGAAGGACUGUGUGGAGCACUUCCUUCUGCUGAUGAACAUGUGCUAUGAAAAAUAAACUUAUUUUGUUUAGCAACUAAGAUUUCUGAAUUACUUGUUACAGCAGUUAGUAUAUCCUGAUUAACAGACCUCAUCUUUUAUUCCUUUGGGCUUGAAUUUGAUGGCUUACCUGUGCUUUUCUUUGGCUUGACCAAGUAGUAUAGCAGCUGGCUUUCUGCUUGGUCAUUCUUUGCUCAGCAUUGAUAAAAUAGAGCAUAAUGAAGACAGAACAUUAAACACCUCCUUUUAAUCUUGUUUACCUGUUCAAUUUGCUUUGAAAGUGUUUAUUAUUUUAGAAAGGGCAAAAAGGUAUUGUAUUUAAUGGGAAGGUAAUUAACUAGG
rnacentral:lncRNA from 1 species